rnacentral:rRNA from 1 species
CCUACGGGCGGCAGCAGUGGGGAAUAUUGGGCAAUGGACGAGAGUCUGAACCAGCCAAGUAGCGUGAAGGAUGACUGCCCUAUGGGUUGUAAACUUCUUUUAUAUGGGAAUAAAAUGUUCCACGUGUGGGAUUUUGUAUGUACCAUAUGAAUAAGGAUCGGCUAACUCCGUGCCAGCAGCCGCGGUAAUACGGAGGAUCCGAGCGUUAUCCGGAUUUAUUGGGUUUAAAGGGAGCGUAGGUGGAUUGUUAAGUCAGUUGUGAAAGUUUGCGGCUCAACCGUAAAAUUGCAGUUGAAACUGGCAGUCUUGAGUACAGUAGAGGUGGGCGGAAUUCGUGGUGUAGCGGUGAAAUGCUUAGAUAUCACGAAGAACUCCGAUUGCGAAGGCAGUUCACUGGACUGCAACUGACACUGAGGCUCGAAAGUGUGGGUAUCAAACAGGAUUAGAUACCCUUGUAGUC